CACAACGAGCAACCACGAGUAAUGGAACCCUAAGUUCGUUUGCCGCCCUAAUCUGCUCAGCGCCUUCCUUCUCUUGAACGCCUGCCAUGGUCACGCUUGACAGCAUAGACAGCGAAAAGGAUCAUGGCUGCAUCUUCAGCAAGCACCGCUGUGGCCGACUCCAUAUGGCGGGAAAUUAAGUCUUCUCGUUCUGCUUGCAUUUACUCUUUGGAAAGAAUUUGGAAAGAGCGACCAUAAUUGUCGACGAGGGCGGCGUCCAGAAGCAUACAGGAAAUCCUAGCGGCCGCUUCAUAUUUAAGGUGGUUGGGAAUUCGAAAAAGAAGA